rnacentral:lncRNA from 1 species
UGUGUGCCAUCAUGCAAAGUCAUUAUUCUCAUGUGGCACUGUUGUUUUCCAUAUCUUUCCUAGGGAAAAGACUGGGAAAAAAGUGCUGGGCACGCAUGCUUUGACUGUGGUCAUCAUAACGAUAAUUGGCUGGUCUUUGUGGAAGCUGGAUUCUUUAUUUCAUAUAAAUAAAAAGUCCACAAGAAUAGCUUCUAAUAUUUGAAGACAAAUGCUGCUGGCAUCUCUGGUGCUAUUUCCUUUUCCCAUCCUGAGCGUGCACGGAGCCAUUCCCAGAGAGUUGGAGCUCUUCCACAAGAUGGUGCCGAGCUCUGUCGCUCACAAGUGGUGCGUAAUUGAAAUACGGCACACAUCCUCCUGGGGAAGGAAGAGAUUAUCUCAACGAAAACAGCAGAUGUAUUUUGGAGCGACGAGACAAAUGUUUAGUGAAAUUAAAGUUAUUCAUGUGCAGUCACACAGGGAAUAUUUGCAUGAUAUUUUACUAAUUGCUCCAAAAUCUGACUUGUAGCAAAUAAACAAACAUAGGAGAAAAAAUAAGCCA